GGUCAUGUAUAAAAUUGCUGGGCAGGCCAUUAUUUUGGCUACCAUGGCUAAGCCCCAAAUAGAAUGACAAGGUUUGAUGAGCAGGAAAACGAUAUUAACCAUAUGCUAUGGCCAUCUCAGUCACCAGAUCUCAACCCAACUGAACACUUACAGUAUGGGAGAUUCUGGAGCGGCGCCUGAGACAGCGUUUUCUACCACCAUCAAGAAAACACCAAAUGAUGGAAUUUGUCGUGGAAGAAGGGUGUCGCAUCCGUCCAAUAGAGGUCCAGACACUUGUAGAAUCUAUGCCAAGAUGCUUUGAAGCUGUUCAGCCUUGUGGUGGCAGUUACCUGUAUAUCUGUCUAUUUCUCAUUGUAAAGAUUAUAUAAAGAGGCAGAGAGGUCAAUCUGACCUUUGUACAGUAAGUACCAGCUUAACUCAGUAGGGUAGACUUCCUCUUUGAUCUUACCCAUAAUACAUUAGCUUACAAAGCAUUGCGUUGUGUAAUUGCUCUAUUUAAUUAAUUUAGGUCAUAACUAUCUGAAGAUACAAAUACAUAAAAAGCUUAGGUGUGGUAGAGGCGCAGGGACCACAUAGUGACAUUUGAGUAGAUAGAUAAAGAUUAUGAUAUUGGUCAAUGACUGUCAGAUAAGAGGAUCUUAUAACAUUUCCAACAGAAUUAUGACACAACACAGGACCGACACAAAUUGAAAUGUUGAGUUUAAUUUAUGUGACAUCGCAGUGAUCUAAAAUGACAUAAAUAUUCAGUAUCUACCCAGAUCUGAGUUCCGAGCUGCUGAAACAGAGGGUGACCUACAACGGGGUGAAAUCCCAGCUACGCAAGCUAAACCUGAGAUGCGGCUUCAUUCACCCGGCAAAACUCCUCUUGACCUUCCAGAAUACAACACACGCGCUUUCCACUGCCAAGGAGGCUCAAAACUUCUUGGAGAAACACCUCAAGCCCAACACACAAGGGGACGAGCUGACAGAUCUAGGCUAACCCCAAUUUGACUGGCUCAAUAUUCAGGUAUACAGACGAGGAGGCAUACAAAGGUAUGUCAAUUGGUAUUGCUAUGUAAUGCAGAUCACAUUUACCAUCCCUCUCCCUUGCCUCUUCAAUGAAUAUCCCAGAGGCCUCUACAUUAUGGACAAGACUUCACCCUCCUUACAUGUCUGAUGAAUAUAACAGGAAACCUGUUUUAUCACGUUGCACUGCAAAACCAUUCUGGCUGUGGAUACGGAGAACAUCAACACAUUAACAUCAACAAGCCAGAGGAUAAACCCAUUGGACUUGGGGCUCUACUGGGA